rnacentral:lncRNA from 1 species
GUAUAUACCGAGUCUUUGUGAGUAAUUAAUUAUGGUCUCUUUGUAAAUGUUGACGAGAAUCCCGAUAUUUUUAAAGUUAUGAAGCCAAUAAUAUUUUUAUUGAUGAUGAUGUCAUCUUUCUUGAUUUUAGCACAUUUCAAUAUUGCUUCCGCUCGACGUUCAAUCUAGUUUUCUCUUUUUACAUUAUUAAUUUAUUUAGUCGUAUCGAUACUCGGUCUACACUAUCACUGGCUAGGCGUCGGGCUGCGACAGAUACAGUUCAGAAGGUCAGAGCUAGAGUCUUUCAAUUCAAUCAUCGACAGCCUCUGCAUACAAUUCAUAAGUAAGUGCUUCUAACUCCUAU